CUGUGAAGCCCAGAACAGAAGAGGACGUCAUAACUCCACCUUACAUCUGAUUGUUGUGGCAGAGAAAUCAUCAGUGAUAAUAAAUAUCAUCAGGUUGACUCUGGUGGUUGUGACGCCGAUUGCUCUGCUUUUUUUCUGUCUGUGGAUGAGGUGAAAUAAGAAUAUAAGAAUCAACCAGUUCAAUCACUGAUCUUUUACUUUGAAUAUUUUCUUUCAUAGUUUUGAGUUAUAGAUUAAGAGGAACAAACAUCAAACAAACAUCAAACUCGAAGCUAAGUAAAUCACAGCAUGUACAGUCUAUAUUUAAACAGUGAAAUCAAACAGAAGCCCAGCUCUAUCACAGUUUGCUAGUGUUGCAGUGGCUGAAUAAACAACUCUGCAGUUUGAUCAUCAUUUCAGUUUCCUCUCACUGCUGCAGAGGGCGACAGUGUACAGAAAGUUUUGGAUUUAUGUUUAUUAUUCAGAAAGAAAAGUUUGUAAUUAUCAUUAAUGAAUAAAAAUAAAAUGUAAAUCUU